rnacentral:rRNA from 1 species
UACGUAGGGGGCAAGCGUUGUCCGGAUUUAUUGGGCGUAAAGAGCGUGUAGGCGGCCAGACAGGUCCGUUGUGAAAACUCGAGGCUCAACCUCGAGAUGUCGAUGGAAACCGUCUGGCUAGAGUCCGGAAGAGGAGUGUGGAAUUCCUGGUGUAGCGGUGAAAUGCGCAGAUAUCAGGAAGAACACCCGUGGCGAAGGCGGCUCUCUGGGACGUGACUGACGCUGAGACGCGAAAGCGUGGGGAGCAAACAGG